rnacentral:rRNA from 1 species
GGGUCAGUAGGUUGGUCGUGCCACCGGUACGUACUGGUCUCACUGAUUCCUCCUUCCUGAAGAACCGUAAUGCCAUUAAUUUGGUGUUGCGGGGAAACAGGACUGUUACUUUGAAAAAAUUAGAGUGUUUAAAGCAAGCUAACGAUUGAAUACAUUAGCAUGGAAUAAUGAAAUAGGACGAUCGAUCCUAUUUUGUUUGUUUCUAGGAUUGACGUA